CUUGUGACAUGUUUGAUCCAAUGAACUCGCUCCCCUUUUCCUGGAGCCUCAGCCUCUGGUGAAACUGGACUUUCAAGUCUGUGCAGGUGAAGGUGUGUGAGAGCGCCCGAGAUGGCAGAACAAGAGCUACAGGGGCAGGGUAGAGGUGAUGGGAGAGACGGAGCGGGGAGCGCCACUACAGACACUAGGUACCGUGGGUCAAACCGAAGGACGACAGAAUGCUGAACCCAGAAAUCAACAAGCCACCCGGAACCAAAUGGCCAGUUCACCACCUGCCACUUGACACUCGCGGGACGAAAACUGUGUGGCGGGCAGAAGAGUCAGGGAACUAGAGUUACGCUAUGCUGAGUGGGAAAGGAACGGAUUGCCGGGUCUCUUGCGUAAUUGCAUUGUUAGCAUUCUUAUCCACAACAAACUCUUCUCCUGCUCUGAUGCAUAGAAGAUAGCAGGUCGUUUUCAGUUUUCAACUAGUCGAGCGACCUUUCCUGAACUGGAUCUAUGAAGUGCGGCGUGGCUUUAAUGGAGAAAGGAGAUUCGGUUGAAUAGACUCUUAAGGUGGCCCGGGCGCACCUCUUGCAUCUCUCCGCAGCCUGGGAUUCCUGCGCUGCGGAACAACUACUGCAUCUGUUCCAUAAGCCUGUCGCCCGUUGACAUUUCUAGGCAAGCAUCAACAUUUACAUUGUAAUUCAAUAGAAGCAGCUACUACAAAGGCUCUUUAUCCUUGCAGUUUAAUAUGGUUGCCAGGGGAACAACGCAGGAUGAAAGUGACUUGUUUGUGUGGGUUCUCUUCUGGUCCGGAACAGUGCGAAGUAGCCAGGUGUCAUUUAUAAUCGCUGCUACGAGAAUUAAGUAUUUGUGGGAGUUCUGACAGGGAUCUAGCCCAUACAUGAGCGUGGUGGAAAUACAGGAGGGUAUGGAAAGCUUUGCCACAUUUAUGUCAAGUCAACACUGGAGCACUGGAGCUGUCAGAUUUGACACAACUUCUGUAUUAAACCUUUGCAGGUCACAUGAUUUGGGGGAAUUAAAUUACGGCACUAGGUUUGGUUGUUCUUUAUUUCCACUCUUAGCAACUGACUUUAACGAUUCUAUUUUAU
rnacentral:lncRNA from 1 species